GACGAACGCUGGCGGCGUGCUUAACACAUGCAAGUCGAACGGAAAGGCCUGCUUUCCCUUGUGGAUUGCGGGUACUCGAGUGGCGAACGGGUGAGUAACACGUGAGUGAUCUGCCCCCAACUUGGGUAUAAGCCUGGGAAACUGGGUCUAAUUCCCGAUAGGACUGCAGGGUGGUGCCUGUGGUGGAAAACGAUUUUCUAGUGGUUGGGGAUGAGCUCGCGGCCUAUCAGCUUGUUGGUGGGGUAAUGGCCUACCAAGGCGGCGACGGGUAGCCGGCCUGAGAGGGUGGACGGCCACAUUGGAACUGAGAUACGGCCCAGACUCCUACGGGAGGCAGCAGUGGGGAAUAUUGCACAAUGGGCGGAAGCCUGAUGCAGCGACGCCGCGUGGGGGAUGACGGCCUUCGGGUUGUAAACUCCUUUCGACCGCGAGGAAGCCACCUGGUUGGAAGGGUGGUGACGGUAGUGGUAGAAGAAGCACCGGCUAACUACGUG
rnacentral:rRNA from 1 species